GACGUAGGGUCCAAGCGUUGUCCGGAUUUACUGGGCGUAAAGAGCGCGUAGGCGGUCUGUUAAGUAUAGAGUGAAAUCUCCAGGGCUCAACCCGGAAACUGCUCUGCAUACUGGCAGACUGGAGUGAUGCAGAGGUUUGUGGAAUUCCUGGUGUAACGGUGAAAUGCGCAGAUAUCAGGAAGAACACCCGUGGCGAAGGCGGCUCUCUGGGACGGUACUGACGCUGAGACGCGAAAGCGUGGGGAGCGAACAGG
rnacentral:rRNA from 1 species